UGAAAUUAAAUUUGGGCACAGGAAGC
rnacentral:piRNA from 1 species